rnacentral:rRNA from 1 species
GAUCAUUAUUGAAUACGAUUGGUGCGGGUGCCGGCUCAUCACAGAGCAUGUGCUCGUUCCAUGUACUUAUCCUUUGGGGCGCACAUCUUGUGGUCACGAAGUGAAACACACACGCACCGUGCGGUUUGGGAGCUUGAAUAAACUCUGCUCCUGGUUCUUUCUCCCACCCAUGUUUUCAUUUACCAUAUAAAGUUACAGAACGUCUUUUAACGAUUGCGCAAGCAGUCAUUAAACCUAUACAACUUUCAGCAAAAACACUGAAAAUCUCCUAUCGAUGAAGACCGCAGGGAAAUGCGAAUAGUAAUGGGAACACCAGAAUUCAGUGAAUCAUAAAAUCUUGGAAAGCACCUUGCGCCAUUGGGUAAAAGAAAGGGCAUGCCUGUUUGAGGGUCAUUAAAGAAUCUACCUUGCUCAGUUCCACUUCCUGGUAUUCGGAUUAGCAGGCUGGUCUUAGCUUCAUCCGACGGGGGAUGGUCAGCUUCCAUUUAAUGCAUUAGGGGGAUGUCCCCCGGUCGGUCAAGCGGUGUGAUAAUUUGGCCCUCCGGGAAACCAAGAUGCAAAGUAAUGCGAACCUGCUCAUCACGCUCUUCCCCCCCAAUCUGACAGAUGACCUCAAAUCAGGUAGG